CAGCUAAAUUCUUACCAAAAAUGAUAGAGGGCAGAAGACAAUGGAAUAGCAUCUUUGAAGGAAUUGAAAAAAAAAAGACCCCAUUAAUCAGAAUUUUAUAUCUAGGUAAAUUGUCCUUGAAGUAAAAGAUAGAUGUUUAAAGAUAAUGUAGGGCUGGGUGUGGAUUUCAGGGGUAGAGCGUUUGCCUGGCAUGUGCAAUGUCCUGUGUUCAAUCCCCAGUACUGAAGAAAAAGUUAUCCAUUUAAAGAGUUAAAAAAUAAAUGCAAACAAAGAAUUCAUUGCUAUUCGACCAGCACAAGAAGAAAUGAUAAAAUAAAUUCUUCAGACUGAAGGGGAACAAUACUCAAUGGAAAUUUGAAUCUUCAGAAAGAAAUGCAAAACACGAGAAAUGGUUGAUAUUAAAGGCUAUUUUUCUCUUAAUUUCUUUCAAGUGCAUGUGACAUUUUAAAGCAAAAUUACAAUAUUUAAUUAUUUUUUAAACAAAUUUUAAUUCUAAUUUGUUAUAUUUUAAUUCUAAUUUGUUAUCGACAGCAGAAUGCAUUACAAUUCAUAUAGACAUAUAGAGCACAAUUUUUCAUAUCUCUGGUUGUACACAAAGCAGAGUCACACUGUUCAUGUCUUCAUACGUGUUCUUAGGACAACAGUUAAUUUUUAACACAUGUCAGUAUAAUACAUAGGACAACUCCAGUAGAAAUGAGGGGGCCGGAAAAUGGACCUGGCUGGUUUCAAGAGCAUUUUUCACUCUUAUUUUAGUGAAAUACAAGAAGACAACCAAUUUACAAUUUCUGUUUAGCCCCACUCAUUAGAAAUAGGUCUUAUUCACAUUCUUCAACUAGAAUUAUAAUAAUACUGUAUUAUAACCAGUAUUAUAAUAAUACUGCCUAUUGCUGUAAAGUAUAAAAUAUUGAAGUGUUUCUCCCUGUUAUCUGCCCAAGAAAUUGAUCUGACAAUUCAGAUCCAUGCUGUCGUCUCCAAGAAUCUUCCAUUUUAUUUAAAAUGGCACAAGAUCAACUGUUAGGUAGGCUAUGAAAAUUUUGAAGAUGUAUAUUGUAAUCUGUAGAGCAAUCAGAAAAAAAAUUUAAAAAGAUAUUUUGGUGAAUAUAAAUGGAACUUUAAAAUUAUUUAACCCCAAAUAAGGAGGUAAGGAAAGAAAAACAGAGGAACGAAAGUAGAUUUGAAAAUAGGAAAACAAAUAGUAAAAUGGAAAAUUUAAAUUUAACCAUAUCAAUAAUUACACCAAAUAUAAACUAAUUAAACACUCCAUUUAAAAUGCAGAGAUUAAAUGGCUCAGUGGUAGAAUGCUUGCCUAGUACGUGCAACGCGCUAGGUUCGAUCCUCAGUGCCACAUAAAAAUAAAC
rnacentral:lncRNA from 1 species